rnacentral:rRNA from 1 species
UGGGGAAUAUUGCACAAUGGGCGAAAGCCUGAUGCAGCGACGCCGCGUGAGGGAUGACGGCCUUCGGGUUGUAAACCUCUUUCAGCAGGGACGAAGCGCAAGUGACGGUACCUGCAGAAGAAGCACCGGCUAACUACGUGCCAGCAGCCGCGGUAAUACGUAGGGUGCAAGCGUUGUCCGGAAUUACUGGGCGUAAAGAGUUCGUAGGCGGUUUGUCGCGUCGUUUGUGAAAACCAGCAGCUCAACUGCUGGCUUGCAGGCGAUACGGGCAGACUUGAGUACUGCAGGGGAGACUGGAAUUCCUGGUGUAGCGGUGAAAUGCGCAGAUAUCAGGAGGAACACCGGUGGCGAAGGCGGGUCUCUGGGCAGUAACUGACGCUGGGGAACGAAAGCGUGGGUAGCGAACAGG